UACGAAGGGGGCUAGCGUUGUUCGGAAUUACUGGGCGUAAAGCGCACGUAGGCGGACAUUUAAGUCAGGGGUGAAAUCCCGGGGCUCAACCCCGGAACUGCCUUUGAUACUGGAUGUCUUGAGUGUGGAAGAGGUAAGUGGAAUUGCGAGUGUAGAGGUGAAAUUCGUAGAUAUUCGCAGGAACACCAGUGGCGAAGGCGGCUUACUGGUCCAUUACUGACGCUGAGGUGCGAAAGCGUGGGGGGCGAUCCGG
rnacentral:rRNA from 1 species